UACGGGGGGGGCAAGCGUUGUUCGGAAUUACUGGGCGUAAAGGGUGCGUAGGCGGCUCGGCAAGUCGGGUGUGAAAUCUUGGAGCUUAACUCCGAAACUGCAUUCGAUACUGCCGUGCUUGAGGACUGGAGAGGAGACUGGAAUUUACGGUGUAGCGGUGAAAUGCGUAGAUAUCGUAAGGAAGACCAGUGGCGAAGGCGGGUAUCUGGACAGUUCCUGACGCUGAGGCACGAAGGUCAGGGGAGCAAACGGG
rnacentral:rRNA from 1 species